rnacentral:rRNA from 1 species
GUGGGGAAUCUUGCGCAAUGGGCGAAAGCCUGACGCAGCCAUGCCGCGUGGAUGAUGAAGGUCUUAGGAUUGUAAAAUCCUUUCACCGGUGAAGAUAAUGACUGUAGCCGGAGAAGAAGCCCCGGCUAACUUCGUGCCAGCAGCCGCGGUAAUACGAAGGGGGCUAGCGUUGCUCGGAUUUACUGGGCGUAAAGGGCGCGUAGGCGGACAUUUAAGUCAGGGGUGAAAUCCCGGGGCUCAACCUCGGAACUGCCUUUGAUACUGGGUGUCUUGAGUAUGAGAGGGGGGGGUGGAACUCCGAGUGUAGAGGUGAAAUUCGGAGAUAUUCGGAAGAACACCAGUGGCGAAGGCGACACACUGGCUCAUUACUGACGCUGAGGCGCGAAAGCGUGGGGAGCAAACAGGAUUAGAUUCCCUGGUAGUCC